rnacentral:rRNA from 1 species
CGACCGGCGCACGGGUGAGUAACACGUAUGCAACCUGGCCGUGACAGAUGGAUAACCGGGAGAAAUCCCGCCUAAUACAGCAUGACGCCGGGAAGGGACAUCCCUUUCCGGCCAAAGGGGGCGACUCCGGUCACGGAUGGGCAUGCGGCGCAUUAGGUAGUUGGUGGGGCAACGGCCCACCAAGCCGACGAUGCGUAGGGGUUCUGAGAGGAAGGUCCCCCACACUGGUACUGAGACACGGACCAGACUCCUACGGAAGGCAGCAG